rnacentral:rRNA from 1 species
GAGCGGUGAAAUGCGUAGAUAUCUAGAGGACCGCCAGAGGCGAAGGCGGAUGGCUGGGCCGUUGUUGACGCUCAGGGACGAAAGCAUGGGUAGCGAACGGGAUUAGAUACCCCGGUAGUCCAUGCCCUAAACGAUGUGCACUAGGUCGCGGAGGUUUUGACGCCAUCGCGGCUGAAGUUAAAAUAUUAAGUGCACCGCCUGGGGAGUACGGUCGCAAGGCUAAAACUCAAAGGAAUUGACGGGGGCUCACACAAGCGGUGGAGCAUGUGGCUUAAUUCGAAGCAACGCGAAGAACCUUAUCCAGGGCUUGACAUGCACGGAUUAUUGAUCCGAAAGGUGAUAAACGCUCUCUGAGUGGAACGUGCACAGGUGCUGCAUGGCUGUCGUCAGCUCGUGCUGUGAAGUGUCGGGUUAAGUCCCUUAACGAGCGAAACCCCUAUCCCUAGUUGCCAGCGAGUCAUGUCGGGGACUCUAGGGAGACUGCCGGCGUCAAGCCGGAGGAAGGUGGGGAUGACGUCAAGUCCUCAUGGCCUUUAUGCCCUGGGCUGCACACGUGCUACAAUGGUAUCGACAGAGCGACGCAAAGCGGCGACGUGGAGCAAAUCGCACAAACGAUGCCUCAGUUCGGAUUGUAGUCUGCAACUCGACUACAUGAAGUUGGAAUCGCUAGUAAUCGCGUAUCAGCAACGACGCGGUGAAUAAGUUCCUGAGCCUUGUACACACCGCCCGUCACGUCAUGGGAGCCGGGAGCACCCGAAGUAGCCACAACUCAGUGGUUCCUACGGUGAGCUCGGUGACUGGGACGAAGUCGUAACAAGGUAGCCGUAGGGGAACCUGCGGCUGGAUCACCU